UGUGUGUGGAGUGCGAGCCGCCUAGUGGGCCACUUUUUGGUAAGCAGAACUGUCACUGCAGGAUAACCUGAAUGCCGGGUUAAGGCGCCUGACGCCGAUGCUCAUCAGACCCCAGAAAAGGUGUUGGUUGAAUAGACAGCAGGACCUC